UACGUAGGGUGCAAGCGUUGUCCGGAAUUAUUGGGCGUAAAGAGCUCGUAGGCGGCUUGUUGCGUCGGCUGUGAAACCCCGGGGCUCAACCCCGGGCCUGCAGUCGAUACGGGCAGGCUAGAGUCCGGCAGGGGAGACUGGAAUUCCUGGUGUAGCGGUGAAAUGCGCAGAUAUCAGGAGGAACACCGGUGGCGAAGGCGGGUCUCUGGGCAGUAACUGACGCUGAGACACGAAAGCGUGGGUAGCAAACAGG
rnacentral:rRNA from 1 species